rnacentral:rRNA from 1 species
AUUGAACGCUGGCGGCAGGCCUAACACAUGCACGUCGAGAGAGCGGCGGACGAGUGAGUAAUGUCUGGGAAACUGCCUGAUAGAGGGGGAUAACUACUGGAAACGGUAGCUAAUACCGCAUACCAUCCGAUUUGCCAAGAUGGGAUUGGGUAGUAGGUGGGGUUACGGCUCACCAAGGCGACGAUCCCUAGCUGGUCUGAGAGGAUGACCAACCACACUGGAACGGAGACACGGUCCAGACUCCUGCGGGAGGGAGCAGUGGGGAAUAUUGCACAAUGGUCGCAAGCCGGAUGCAGCCAUGCCGCGUGUGUGAAGAAGGCCUUCGGGUUGUAAAGCACUGUCAGCGGGGAGGCGUUACCCGCAGAAGAAGCACCGGCUAACCCCGUGCCAGCCGCCGCGGUAAUAC